AGCGCAGGUGGUUUAUUAAGUCUGGUGUAAAAGGCAGUGGCUCAACCAUUGUAUGCAUUGGAAACUGGUAGACUUGAGUGCAGGAGAGGAGAGUGGAAUUCCAUGUGUAGCGGUGAAAUGCGUAGAUAUAUGGAGGAACACCGGUGGCGAAAGCGGCUCUCUGGCCUGUAACUGACACUGAGGCUCGAAAGGACGUGGGGAGCAAACA
rnacentral:rRNA from 1 species